UACAGAGGAUGCAAGCGUUAUCCGGAAUGAUUGGGCGUACAGCGUCUGUAGGUGGCUGUUUAAGUCCGACGUGAAAUCCCAGGGCUCAACUCUGGACAGGCGGUGGAAACUACCAAGCUGGAGUACGGUAGGGGGAGAGGGAAUUUCCGGUGGAGCGGUGAAAUGCGUAGAGAUCGGAAAGAACACCAACGGCGAAAGCACUCUGCUGGGCCGACACUGACACUGAGAGACGAAAGCUAGGGGAGCGAAUGGG
rnacentral:rRNA from 1 species